AUUGAACGCUGGCGGCAGGCUUAACACAUGCGAGUCGAGCGGUAGCACAGGGGAGCUUGCUCCCUGGGUGACGAGCGGCGGACGGGUGAGUAAUGUCUGGGAAACUGCCUGAUGGAGGGGGAUAACUACUGGAAACGGUAGCUAAUACCGCAUAACGUCGCAAGACCAAAGAGGGGGACCUUCGGGCCUCUUGCCAUCAGAUGUGCCCAGAUGGGAUUAGCUAGUAGGUGGGGUAAUGGCUCACCUAGGCGACGAUCCCUAGCUGGUCUGAGAGGAUGACCAGCCACACUGGAACUUGGACACGGUCCAGACUCCUACGGGAGGCAGCAGUGGGGAAUAUUGCACAAUGGGCGCAAGCCUGAUGCAGCCAUGCCGCGUGUGUGAAGAAGGCCUUCGGGUUGUAAAGCACUUUCAGCGAGGAGGAAGGUGGUGAACUUAAUACGUUCAUCAAUUGACGUUACUCGCAGAAGAAGCACCGGCUAACUCCGUG
rnacentral:rRNA from 1 species